rnacentral:rRNA from 1 species
GACGAACGCUGGCGGCGUGUUUAACACAUGCAAGUCGAGCGAUGAAGCUCCUUCGGGAGCGGAUUAGCGGCGGACGGGUGAGUAACACGUGGGUAACCUGCCUCAUAGAGGGGAAUAGCCUUUCGAAAGGAAGAUUAAUACCGCAUAAGAUUGUAGUGCCGCAUGGCAUAGCAAUAAAAAGGGUAAUCCGCUAUGUGAUGGACCCGCGUCGCAUUAGCUAGUUGGUGAGGUAACGGCUCACCAAGGCGACGAUGCGUAGCCGACCUGAGAGGGUGAUCGGCCACAUUGGGACUGAGACACGGCCCAGACCCCUACGGGAGGCAGCAGUGGGGAAUAUUGCACAAUGGGGGAAACCCUGAUGCAGCAACGCCGCGUGAGUGAUGACGGUCUUCGGAUUGUAAAGCUCUGUCUUCAGGGACGAUAAUGACGGUACCUGAGGAGGAAGCCACGGCUAACUACGUGCCAGCAGCCGCGGUAA